rnacentral:rRNA from 1 species
UACGUAGGUGGCGAGCGUUGUCCGGACUUACUGGGCGUAAAGGGAGCGUAGGCGGAUUUUUAAGUGAGAUGUGAAAUACUCGGGCUCAACUUGAGUGCUGCAUUUCAAACUGGAAGUCUAGAGUGCAGGAGAGGAGAAUGGAAUUCCUAGUGUAGCGGUGAGAUGCGUAGAGAUUAGGAAGAACACCAGUGGCGAAGGCGAUUCUCUGGACUGUAACUGACGCUGAGGCUCGAAAGCGUGGGGAGCAAACAGG